GCCAGUUGGUGCGAGCCUCCACUCUUGCCGACUACAUCCCAUUCAUUAGGUUCUACAAUUUAUCCUUCAGCCCACAAGAGGAACCCAACAGAACCAAUGGAUCAGGAUGAAGCAUGACGGAAAGUCGGUGGUGUUUUGAGGGCCAAUCUGAAAGGUGAGGAAAUCUUCAAGGAGUGCAACAAGACUGAAACACUAACCGAUGCAAGGUGUAAACAGAUGGUGAACAUCCUGGCUGCAGAUAUGAUGGAGCUGCAUGGGAGGGUUCCGCCAUCAUGUGUGAUGAGAAAUUACGCCCUGAGAAUUGUGACUUGUUUUCCAUACCUAAAAGAUCCAUUCUCCAAACCUGGAUAUGAUGCUUAGCUUAGCGGCAGUGGCUCAGGAGGUAGAGCAGGUCGUCCAGAAAUCGUAAGGUUGGUUGAUCCUUGCUCCCUCCACCCAGUCACUGUUUUGUCCUACACUUCUCCUGGCUCUCAAAGCCGUUCCAAG